UACGUAGGGCGCAAGCGUUAUCCGGAAUUAUUGGGCGUAAAGAGCUCGUAGGCGGUUUGUCGCGUCUGCCGUGAAAGUCCGGGGCUCAACUCCGGAUCUGCGGUGGGUACGGGCAGGCUAGAGUGAUGUAGGGGGAGACUGGAAUUCCUGGUGUAGCGGUGAAAUGCGCAGAUAUCAGGAGGAACACCGAUGGCGAAGGCAGGUCUCUGGGCAUUAACUGACGCUGAGGAGCGAAAGCAUGGGGAGCGAACAGG
rnacentral:rRNA from 1 species